UGUGGCUCCAGCAAACAUCAGAUGAUACUAGAAAUUAAUAUCAAAUAAAUUCUAAAAACAGCUUAUCAAGCUUAAACCUGCUGCUGUUGUUUAGCGCGCCAUCCGCUGGUUUCCUCUUUCUGGCGCAAAGUGGGCGAUAAACAAACAAGAGAGAAAAGCCAAUCAGCUGAUCAUUGAUCAGUUUCAUGAUUGAAGUAGCAACAGGAGAGGGAGGGGGGAGAGAAUGAGAGAAGAAGAGGCAGCUGUGCAGCGUAACGACAGAGUAAAUCCAGCUUUGUGUCUUUUUCCAUUCUAGCUAAAGUACGGGACAAACUGCGUCCCUUCUCAGCUCAACACGAAACACGUAAUAUUUUCUCUGAAUGAGGGACCAUUACAUUUUUUAAGGAGCCGUUGGCAACUCUACUAACUAACCUUAUGAAUAAAAUAAAGUUCACUAUCAGUAACAUCAUAGCACCCACCCAGCUAUAAAUAAACUCCGUCAUGCUAGCUAGUACACAGUACGUGUUAUUGUAACUGACGGUAAAAAGUCAGCACAACGAAAAUAAACUCCACCUAAACCUGGUUUAUAUCUGACCCAGAUAGACUGCAGGACAUAAGUUCUUACCUGUAGUUCAGUUCACCUGACACUCGGACCGGCGGCCACCUCGGGUCUCUCCUCCUCCUGCCUCCCCUUUCUCUCAUCCACCUGCUGGCCUUUGUGGAAGCUCCGCCAUAGCCACCACCAAACAACUGAGUUAUUUUUACACAUCUGCCAGCAUCUGGCCAAUCCACCACCUCUCAUUGUUCAUGCCGUUACAAAAAAAAAAAAAAAAAAGUCAUCAGCCCACUGGGCAAAUGCUUGGGAUGUAGUGAUGUGCGAUGCCACUGAUUUCCUUUCCGAUCUGAUACCAAGUAAAAUUCAGGGUGUUAUCGACGAUACUGAUCCGAUACCGAUACUUUGUACAAUAACGUAUUUUAUUUAUUGUAUCUUUUAUUGUAGCUUCAUCAUGACUACAGGACAUGAGAUUACUUAUUCUUAUCACUUAAUAAUGCAGAAUUCAUCAUAUAGAAAUAAAAUGUUGCCUGCCUGCAGCACUAAAGGACUCCAUGAGAGACGUCUAUCUCCCCCUAGCAGCACCUGUCCCUGUCCACUCCUCCUCUUCAGUUCCCCCUUAACAUACGCUCGUUAUAUUCUGUGAUAUGAUUUACUCUGAAGUGUUUGACGAGGUUAGUGUUGUUGCCACAACACCUCACUUUUUAACCACAUGUAUCGCAAACCACAUCUCGGCUGUUUGUGGAGGUAAAAUACUUCCGCACAUGACUCC
ensembl:lncRNA